rnacentral:rRNA from 1 species
GAUCAUGGCUCAGGAUGAACGCUAGCUACAGGCUUAACACAUGCAAGUCGAGGGGCAGCAUGAACUUAGCUUGCUAAGUUUGAUGGCGACCGGCGCACGGGUGAGGUAACACGUAUCCAACCUUCCGUUUACUCAGGGAUAGCCUUUCGAAAGAAAGAUUAAUACCUGAUAGUAUGGUGAGAUUGCAUGAUAACACCAUUAAAGAUUUAUUGGGUAAAACGAUGGGGAUGCGUUCCAUUAGG